AUUGAACGCUGGCGGCAGGCUUAACACAUGCAAGUCGAGCGGGGGAAGGUAGCUUGCUACCGGACCUAGCGGCGGACGGGUGAGUAAUGCUAGGAAUCUGCCUAUUAGUGGGGGACAACAUCUCGAAAGGGAUGCAAAUACCGCAUACGUCCUACGGGAGAGAGCAGGGGAUCUUCGGACCUUCCGCUAAUAGAUGAGCCUAAGUCGGAUUAGCUAGUUGGUGGGGUAAAGGCCUACCAAGGCGACGAUCUGUAGCGGGUCUGGGAGGAUGAUCCGCCAAACUGGGACUGAGACACGGCCCAGACUCCUACGGGAGGCAGCAGUGGGGAAUAUUGGACAAUGGGGGGAACCCUGAUCCAGCCAUGCCGCGUGUGUGAAGAAGGCCUUAUGGUUGUAAAGCACUUUAAGCGAGGAGGAGGCUACUUUAGUUAAUACCUAGGGAUAGUGGACGUUACUCGCAGAAUAAGCACCGGCUAACUCUGUGCCAGCCGCCGCGGUAC
rnacentral:rRNA from 1 species